rnacentral:rRNA from 1 species
AAAAAUCCAGUCCUUGAGAUGAAACCCGAUAGUACCGCGAUCUUUUAAGAGAGCGGAUAAUGGACCUAAUCAUACUUCCAAGAAAAACCUCUAAGCUUCAGGCAUAAGCUGCCCGUACCGCAAACCGACACAGGUAGUCGAGGAGAGUAUCCUCAGGCGCUCGAGUGAUUCACGGCUAAGGAACUCGGCAAAAUAGACCCGUAACUUCGGGAGAAGGGUCGCCCCGCGCAAGCGGGGCCGCAGUAAAAAGGCUCAGGCGACUGUUUAGCAAAAACACAGGGCUCUGCAAAAUCGAAAGAUGAAGUAUAGGGCUGACACCUGCCCGGUGCUGGAAGGUUAAGGAAGCUUGUUAGUGGGAAACUGCGAAGCUUGUAACUGAAGCCCCAGUAAACGGCGGCCGUAACGAUAACGGUCCUAAGGUAGCGAAAUUCCUUGUCGGGUAAGUUCCGACCUGCACGAAUGGUGUAACGAUCUGAGCACUGUCUCGGCCGUGAGCUCGGUGAAAUUGUAGCCCCGGUGAAGAUGCCGGGUACCCGCAACGGGACGGAAAGACCCCGUGAACCUUCACUAUAGCUUUGCAUUGGUUUUGAGUAAAUAAUGUGUAGGAUAGGUGGGAGGCUGCGAAGCAGGCACGCUAGUGUUUGUGGAGCCGUCCUUGAAAUACCACCCUUUAUUUACUUAGAGUCUAACUCUUUGAAAGAGGACAGUGCGUGGUGGGUAGUUUGACUGGGGUGGUCGCCUCCAAAAGAGUAACGGAGGCUUUCAAAGGUACCCUCAGCACGCUUGGUAACCGUGCGUAGAGCGCAAUAGUAUAGGGGUGCUUGACUGUAAGACCGACGGGUCAAGCAGGUAGGAAACUAGGAUAUAGUGAUCCGGUGGUUCCGUAUGGAAGGGCCAUCGCUCAUAGGAUAAAAGGUACUCCGCGGAUAACAGGCUGAUCCUACCCAAGAGCUCAUAUCGACGGUAGGGUUUGGCACCUCGAUGUCGGCUCGUCACAUCCUGGGGCUGGAGAAGGUCCCAAGGGUUGGGCUGUUCGCCCAUUAAAGUGGCACGCGAGCUGGGUUCAGAACGUCGCAAGACAGUUCGGUCCCUAUCUGUUGUGGGCGUUUGAGAUUUGAGGAGAUCUGACUCUAGUACGAGAGGACCGGGUCGGACUGACCACUAGUGUACCUGUUAUGGCGCCAGCUGUAUCGCAGGGUAGCUAUGUCGGGAAUGGAUAAGCGCUGAAAGCAUCUAAGCACGAAACCAACUCCAAGAUUAGAUCUCGUAGGGCUGUGCAAGAUUACCACGUUGGUAGGCUACAGGUGUAAAGGCAGUAAUGUCAUAGCCGAGUAGUACUAAUUGCCCGUAAGCUUU